rnacentral:rRNA from 1 species
AACGCGAAGAACCUUACCUGGGCUUGACUCGCUCGGAUUAUCUCCAUGAAAGUGGAGUAGGCCCUUCGGGGUACAACGAGUACAGGUGCUGCAUGGCUGUCGUCAGCUCGUGUCGUGAGAUGUCGGGUUAAGUCCCUUAACGAGCGAAACCUUUACCCUUAGUUACCAGCGGGUUAUGCCGGGGACUCUAAGGGGACUGCCGGUGUCAAACCGGAGGAAGGUGGAGAUGACGUCAAGUCCUCAUGGCCUUUAUGCCCAGGGCCACACACGUGCUACAAUGGCGUUCAUAAAGCGACCCUAAACGGCAACGUCAUGGAAAUCGCAAAAAUAACGCCCCAGUUCAGAUCGGAGGCUGCAACUCGCCUCCGUGAAGUUGGAAUCGCUAGUAAUCGCGGAUCAGCUACGCCGCGGUGAAUGUGUUCCCGGGCUUGUACUACACCGGUAUCUC